GGAGAUAUGGCUCAGUUGAUAGAGUGCUUGCCUUGCAUGCACAAGGUCCUGGGUUCAAUCCCCAGCACCACCA
rnacentral:tRNA from 1 species